AAUAAUACUGACGGCGUAAAGCACGACUAAAACAAUAGUUACUAUUAGGAUAUAAAACCAGGCUAGGCUGUAAAAAGCCAUAAGCUACAGUAAAUCACCUAUAACAAACAAAUUCCACUCGUGAAAGCUAGGGCACAAACUAAGAUUAGAUACCUUACUAUGCCUAGCUGUAACACAACAAUUAAAUUACGAAUUGUUCGCCAAAUAACUACGAGUAAAAACUUAAAAUUUAAAAGACUUGACGGUGCUUCACAACGACCUAGAGGAGCCUGUCCAAUAACCGAUACUCCGCGAUUAACCCAACCCACCCUAGCCCAACAGUCUAUAUACCGCCGUCGCCAGCCUACCUUAUGAAAGAAACAAAGUAAGCCAAAUAGCACACACUAACAAGACAGGUCGAGGUGUAACUCAUGGGUGGGACAAGAUGGGCUACAUUUUCUAAUAUAGAAUAAUACGAAUAAACUAUGAAAAGAGAAACUGAAGGAGGAUUUAGCAGUAAACUAGGAACAAACACACCUGGUCGAAACCAACGCAAUGAAGCGCGUACACACCGCCCGUCAUCCCUGUAAACACAUAAAACCAUUAAUAA
rnacentral:rRNA from 1 species